rnacentral:rRNA from 1 species
UACGUAGGGUGCAAGCGUUGUCCGGAUUUACUGGGCGUAAAGGGCGCGUAGGCGGUCAGCACAAGUCAGUUGUGAAAUCUCCGGGCUUAACCCGGAAAGGUCAACUGAUACUGUGCGACUAGAGUGCGGAAGGGGCAACUGGAAUUCUCGGUGUAGCGGUGAAAUGCGUAGAUAUCGAGAGGAACACCUGCGGCGAAGGCGGGUUGCUGGGCCGACACUGACGCUGAUGCGCGAAAGCCAGGGGAGCAAACGGG